UGAGAACCUCCUGCCUCAGCCUCUUGAGCAGCUGGAAUUGUAGACCUGCCCAGCAAUUAAAAAAAAAAAAAGAAAUAUCACAGUCCAUUGGAUUUAAUGAGGGGCACCUGGAGCUCUGGAGUUGAUCCCUGGUGUGUUGUCUGUGCCAAUACCAUCAGUAAAAUGAAAUCUCUUUAUUUUUAAAUGAACAAAUAAAGCGUUGGCAUAUUCUU